UUAUCCCGGUGCCGGAGAAAUGGAAAACGGCGCUCAGCAAACACCGGCCACCACUACGCCACCAUCACCUCCGAUGCCAAAAGUCGGCGUAGCGGUGUUUCUUUUAAAAGGAAGUAAAGUUCUGUUGGGGAAACGCCUCUCCGCCGUCGGCCAUAGCACCUUUGCACUUCCCGGCGGCCACCUGGAGUUCGGUGAGUACCUAAAAAUAUCUUCCCGUUGUCUAUCGAAGCUUAAAUUCAUAUAUUAGUUAUGAUUUAUGAUAUGAUUUAUUUGAUAGAUGAUCUAAAUUUUAUAGUGAUUUUUUGUGAAAAGUUACUCCCUUCGUCCCAUUUUAUGUAAUAACAUUUGAUUGGACACAGAAUUUAAGAAAUAAAUGAAGACUUUGAAAUGUUUAUCAAAUUUUUCUUUAAAAAGUAGACUGACUUUUCUUUCUCUUCAUAAAUGUAUUGAAGUAUUAUUUUAUGAUUAAAUGAAACCAACAAGGAUAAAAAAGAAAUUGUACCUUUAAAUACUUAUCAUAUUAGGAAAUGCGACAUUCUUUUUGGACUGACUAAAAAGAAAAUGGUGCCACAUAAAAUGUGACGGAGGGAGUAUUUUUUUGGAGUAUGAAAAACUAUUUUUUUUGCAAAAAGUUAAACAAUCACCUUUAUUUGGAAAAAUAUCUUGUAAGAUUGCCAUAUAACUUUCGUGGUUAAUUAGUGUGAUUUAGAGUACAUUGUUUCCAAAUAUAUACUUGAUUUUAUUUCAAAAAAUUUAAAACUUCUAUGUUUGAAUUCACAAUACCUUAACAACCAAUCUAGCUUUGUACCUUGGCUUCAAGUUGUGUUCUUCAACUUUAACUUUGAACACCACUUGUUCUUCAAAGCUCUCAUGCCCUUGGGCAAUUUUACCAAUUCGCAAGUGUGGUUCUCAUGCAGAGACAUCAUUUCAUCUUGCAUGACUUCAAUCCAUUGAUCCUUGUGCUCAUCUUCCAUGGCCUCCUUAUAACAUUCAGGUUCGCCCCCGUCAGUGAGUAACACAUACUCAUUGGGUGAAUAACGAGAUGAAGGAACCCGCUGUCUUGUGGACCUCCUAAGCAAAUUAUUUAAUUCGUCCACAACUUCAUGAGCAUAAGGAUUAUUAAUAACAAUAUCAUUGUUAUUAACAACAUCAACAUGUUGAUUCGAUACAUGAUUAUGGGCGUCACCGUGAUCAUCAAGCCCAACAACAUCAUGCAUACUUGCGUAAGGAACUUCAUCUAGAUGAAUUAUGCCAUAAAAACUUGAAGAUUCUAGCUUCUCUGCUUUGUCAAUAUCUUAAAUUGUUUGAUUCUCCAUGAAAAUAAUAUCACAGCUUCUCACAAGUUUCUUCUCAAUUGGAUCAUAUAGCUUGUAACCAAAUUCAUCAAGGCCAUAUCCAAUGAAGAUGCACUGCCUUGUCUUGGCAUCCAACUUUGACCUCUCAUCUUUCAGCACAUGUACAAAAGCUUUGCAACCAAAUACUCUCAAAUGAUCAUAGAAAACAUCCUUUCCAUACCAAAUUCUAUAUGGAACAUCACUUUGCAAAGCAACAGCAGGAGAUAGAUUAAUAACAUGUGCAGCGGUCAAUAACGCCUCACCCCAAAAUAAGUUCGACAACUUUGCUUCAGAAAGCAAACAUCUAACUCUUUCCAUCAAGGUCCUGUUCAUCCUAUCAGCCAAACCAUUAAGCUGAGGAGUCUUAGGAAGAGUCUUUUGGUGUCUAAUACCUUGAUGCUUGCAGUAUUCGUCAAAUGGUCCACAAUAUUCACCACCAUUAUCAAUACGUAUACAUUUCAGUUUCUUUCCAGUUUCUCUUUCAACUGAGGCCUGAAACUGCUUGAAGACACCUAAGAUUUGGUCUUUAGUCUUCAAGACAUAAACCCAAAGUUUUCUCAAGCAGUCGUCAAUAAAAGUGACAAAGUAGAGUGCACCACCCAAUGUCUUUGACUUCAUUGGACCGUAUAAAUCAGAGUGCAUCAAGUCAAGCAACUCUGUCUUUCUUGAAAGUGGGUAAGACUUAAAUGAAACUCUAUUUUGUUUAUCAGCCAAGUAGUGCUCACACUUUGCUAAUUUAGAACUUUUAAAAUUUGACAAUAAUUUCUUCUUGGUUAGAACAUUAAGUCAUUUUUGGUUGAUAUGGCUAAGCCUCUUGUGCCAUAAUGUUGAAGAGUCAUUGCUCUCAAUCGCAUUUACCAUAUCGACACAAGCAGAAGUCGUAGUCCAGUAUAGACCAUGACGUUUGUUACCACGAGCCACAACCAAGGAACACUUAAUGAGUUUUUAUUUUUCAUCACCGUUGGUACUAACAUAUCCUUCAUCAUCCAAAACACAACAUAAAUUAGGUGCAGACGAACAUCAUGAGCAUGUUUUACAUUGUUCAAAACUAGUUUAGCUCCAACACUAGUUUCCAAACAAAUUGUAGCAAUACCAACCACCCUAGAAACAAUCUCAUUACCCAUACUCAAAGUUCCAAAAUCACCACGAGUAUAGGAAGAGAAAAAAUUCUUCAUUGAUGUCACGUGAGAUGCGGCACCAAUGUCCACAACCCAACUUGACUCAUCACAAGCAAUAUUUAUCAUAUCUGCAUCAAGGACGGUAAUAAGAUCUUCGAUAGUGACGGUGGCUAGGCAAUUUUCAUUGCCAUCUUCUUUAGUUUCCUCUUUGUUUUUGUUCUCCCUCUUCAACUUUCUGCAAAACUUCUUUGCGUGCCUUUUCAUGCCACAAUGAUAGCACUCAAUAUCCUUAAGCCUGCCUCUAGAUUUGCUCCUAUUUUGUUCUCUAUUCUGAGAACCACGAGUUUUGUUUCUCCCCCUGGAGCCAGUUAUCAGGACAUCCGACAAAGAAGAACUUUGGGAUUUUCUUCUUAUCUCUUCGUUCAAGACACUACUCUUGGCAGAAUCCAUUGAGAUUACACCAUCCGGAGUAGAAUUUAACAAUAAAGUUCUAAAUGGUUCUCAAAAGUCUGGUAGGGAACCAAGUAGAAGCAAGCCUUGAAUUUCUUCAUCAAAUUUAAUGUCCAUAGCAAAUAACUGGUUCAUGAUCCCCUGAAAAUUAUUCAGAUGGUCUAUCAUCGGAGAACCAUCAUGAUACUUUAAACUCAACAUCUACUUUAUUAAGAACAUUUUAUUGUUGCCAGUUUUCCGAGCAUACAAACUUUCAAGAUGCUCCCAUAGGGUUCGAGCAUGUGUCUCCCUAGAAAUAUGGUUCAACACAUUAUCGUCAACCUAUUGCCUAAUGAAUCCACAAAUCUGUCUAUGCAACAGAUUCCACUCUUCAUCUGUUUUAUUAUUAGGCUUUACAGUGGUAAAGAUUGGUUGAUAAAAAUUCUUGACAUAAAGCAGAUCUUCCAUUUUCCCCUUCCAAAUGGCAUAAUUAACACCAUUCAAAGUAACAAUUCUACUUGUGUUGGCUUCCAUCAUUUUCCCCCCAAAAAAAUAGUUAUUGCAAACCAAAGUAAAUCUUUUCUGAUGUGGAAGUUCAGACUGUACUGCAACCACAGAGCAUACUCAGAUACAACCUUGGCUCUGAUAUCAGUUUGUUGGGAAAACGCGGACUAACACAAAAACAUAUAUGGUCAAAUGAUAAAAAUAAAGUGGGAAAAUAAUGACACCAAGAAUUUUACGUGGAAACCCUUCUAAACAAGGGAAAAACCACGGGCCAAGAGAAGCAACUGAUAUCACUAUAGUAAGAAAUUUUACACUAUGUAGUCACGAAUACAAUACUCAAAGUGACUACUACACAUUCAAAAUGAAUAACACUCUUUUGAUUUUCACCUUACUAAAAUAUCGCUCACACUCUAUUUUUCUUCACAGACUAUUUUUCUUGUAUAGUCUAUGGAAUACCUCACUUUGCUCUCAAAAUAAUUUUUUCUCUCUAAAUUAGUGUGUUCUACAAAUGAGCAAGAAUGCUCUAUUUAUAGAAGGAGAAAACCAUGCCUAUGGCACUAAUGACAUAUACAAAUGUAACAAAUUUCAAAAGUAAGUUGCAAAUCUUACCAAUUUGCCAACCACCAAAUCUUUUAUUUUCAACUCACAUUUGUUGUCACUAUUCCUUUUUAACAAUUGUUUGUUGCAAUUGAGUAGCAAAAAUUGAUACCAAAAAUUUAGGAAGCUAUUCAAUAUUUGAGAAUCUAUAUAAUAAAAUCAAGUUAGAUAAAUUAAUUUUAUAUGAUUGAAUUUAAUUUAAUUUUCUUUAUAACAGAGCAUGUUGGAAUUCCAAUGCGACCUCACUCCUCUAAACCAGCUCAUUCAGCAACUGAUCAACACCCAUCACCUGCUGUUAUACACCCAACCCCCGGUAAAAUUCUCUCCAAUAUCUUUUUAAUUUUUUUUUAUUUUUCACUCAAUAUCUUGUGUUUAUAUUUAAAUUCGACUAAAUAUGAAUUCACACAUUUAUAGUCUCAUUCUUUUCGUAUGGCUCUCCAAUAACUAAAAGGAUCGGACAUACGGGACGGGAUCUGAUACCGGAAAUUUAGGAAGCUAUUCAAUAUUCGAGAAUCUAUAUAAUAAAUUUAAAUUACUUAUCAAGUUAGAUAAAUUAAAUUUAUAUGAUUGAAUUUAAUUUAAUUUUCUUUUAUAACAGAGCAUGUUGGAAUUCCAAUGCGACCUCACUCCUCCAGACCAGAUCAUUCAGCAACUGAUCCACACCCAUAACAUGUUGUUAUACACCCACCCCCUGGUAAAAUUCUCUCCAAUAUCUUUUUAAAUUUUUUUCGAUUUUUCACUCGAUAUCUUGUGUUUAUAUUUAAAUUCGACUAAAUAUGAAUUCACGCAUUUAUAGUCUCAUUCUUUUUGUAUGGCUCUCCAAUAACUAAAAGGACCGGACAAACGGGACGAGAUCUUAGUGGAAUAUUCUUUAAAAAAAAUAAAAAUAUAUAUAUAUUAAUUUAAAUAUAAAACUACUAACUAAAAAAUCACAAGAUUUUAUAAGUAAUUUUUUUGUGAGAAGAUAUAUCAUAUAUGAGCAGGGGCGGAAUUAAGUGGGGGUUUGUUGACCCUCUAUUUGUAUUAGAAAAUUAAAUAAAAUAUACAUCUAUUGACUAUAUUAUCUUGUGAACCCCUUAACAAAACUGAUUGACAGUUCGAUAGCAAAAAAGGAUCGUGAAAAUUUUCAGGCUUAAGUUAUGGGUUUGAAUCCUACCAUCAACAAAAAUUAUAUUAUUAUUAUUAUUAUUAUUAUUAUUUUGCAGCAACCCCAACGGCAUGCAGUGGAAUGGAUCGACAAGAAUUAGAAAAUUGUAUACGUCGUCAAGUAAACAGGGAUCUCUGCAAGAAUUAUAAGAUAUGUUAAAAUGAUCAAUAAAUUAUGUAGUAUUAUUAUUACCAAUGCUUUAGAUAAUUAAUUAAAUAAAUAAAUAGAUGGUUUAUAAACUUUAGAACUCCACUUUGUACUAGAUGGGUACAUUUUAUUUCAUUAAAUUAUCUCCCAAAAGAGGAUACCAUACAAAAUAUUUCAAUUUUUUCUAUUGUGAAUGGUCCUUUUUAUACUGUUUACGCUCAAAAUACUACUUGUACUUAUUUAAAAUAUUGAUAUUUUAGAAGUUUAAAAUAAAAUUAAGACUUUUUUCUCAGGUUGAUUGUCUUUAAUUGUAAUUAUUCUUAAAAACUAUAAACACAUAAAUUAUGACAUAUAAAUAAAUUAAAUAUAUUCAAUGAAGAAAGACUAUAUUUUAGAAUAUAAAUAAGAAUAAAAUACUUAAACGUUCUCCUAAUUGAUGUUUUACUUUAUGAGGUGUGUAAAUAAAAAAAAAUGAUAAUUUUUUUUUAUGACAGAGCGACUAUUUCAAAAUGUUACAUAAAUAUCAAAAUUUUAUGAGACUCUAGAGACGUAUUCAAUUCAAGACAAACAUCCCUUUACCUUUGGAGAAUGUAUUUUGACGGUGAAGUUGAGUUAAAAAAAAAAACUUCGACGAAUUCAAUUUUUAGGUUCUUUUUAUUCUUUUCGUUCAACAUGUUGUACUUUUGAAUCAAUUCAAUAUAUUAAUAAUAUCGUACCUCAUCUACUUUAUUAUUAGUUUUAAUAUACAUAUUUAAUUUAGCUAUAUAAAUACAAUAACAAAAGAGGGUAGGAAAUCAAAUAUGAACAAAAAAAAAGAAUUAAAAUGCAAAAAUUAGUACCCCCUUUGUUCCAAAUUACGUGAAUUUGACUAUGAAAAAAAUAAAUUAUUUAAAAUAAAUUUAUAUUUUUGAAUUAUAUAAAAUAUAUUAUAAAUUAAAUAACUGAUAAUUUCAAAUAUUUUUAAAAAUAUAUAAAAAAAUUACCAAAAAAAAAAACAAACAAACUUAUUUGCAUUUUGAAAUAUUUAAAUGUUACAUAUACGAACAAGUACAAGACAUGCCGAUGCAAGCCAUUACUCUACAGAAUUAGUAUAGUUCGCAGACGAGCACAUUAAUAAAAACUUGAACUAAAUAGACAAAGAUGGAAAGAUUAAAGUUUUGUUAUUAGAAAGUCUCCGAUAAAAAGAAUGAUCGUUAAACAAUGGUAUCUUUGUGGCCCAAUUGUAAUAUAAUUGGAGCUAAACUACACAACUUGAGAAGACCGCUAUAAGUUGACCAAAUCAACUGUCAUGAAGACUCCAUAGGACUUGGGAGUACUUUUUUUUAUUUGUCAAUAAAAUAAUAAUUUUUGUUAUAUUAUGUUUUAUAAAGAUGAUAUAUUUUAUACAUUUUUAAUUUAAGAUCACAAAAAAUUUUAAAAAUAAUUUACUCUGCUUAGGGGUGUUCAUGGUUUGGAUAAAAACUGAUCCAAACCGAAAAAUCGAACCAAAUCAAUAAAAUAAAACCAAUUUUAUUUGGGUUUGGUUUGGCAUUAGAUUUUUCGAAAACUGAUAGUAUUUGGUUUGGUUAUGAUUUUAUUCGAAAAAAUCGAAGAAAUAACCGAAUCAAUGAAUUAUAUACAUAUAUUUUAUUAAUAUACAUACUUAAUAUAUUAUUUUUAUGAACAACUUUAAAGAUCUUAUAUAUAUUUUCAUUAAAAUUUCUUUAUAAUAUACUUAUUGAAAGCAAAAAUGUCCAAUAUGAAAAUAUUUAUCUUAUUGAUUUCAUAUAUAUGAGUGCUUAUGACAAUUCUUUGUGGAACUGAAAAUGUUAUUGUCUCUUCCUUCUAGGCCAAUUUAGUGAAUUUUAAAGCUUUAUUGAUAGUAAAUUUAGUGAUCGAAAGAUCAGUAAUUUAAGUCAUUCUAACUAUUUUUCGUUUUGAAUGGAUUGUUGUCACUUUUUUCACAUUUUGAAUGAAUUGUUUCUUUUAUCUUUGUGUAUGAUUAAUUACCAAACCAAACCAAACCGAAACUGAUAACCACCAAACCGAUAAAUGUAUAUUAUAUUUGAUUUUGAUAAUUUUAAAACCGAUUAAGUUGGUUUGAUUUUGGUUUUGACCAAUAACCGAUCCAAAUCGAUCCAUGAACACCCCUAACUCUGCUUAUGAAAAAUAAUUUCUGCUGUUGUGUAGAAAUUAUUUUUUAAAAAAAAUUUCAACUCUCUAAACUAAGUAAAAAAAAAAUGAAAGAAAAAAAACAUUAUUAAUUUCUAAAAAAUUGGCCAAACAAAUUAUAAAAUCACUUUAUAUAUUGUACAUGUUCUUGCAAAAAAAAAAGUCUAAUUGAGUAUUGACUUGUUCAAUAUAUUAGCAUGAGAGGACUUAAGAGUAGACCAAAGUGUCAUGAAUCACAAAGGUUGUGGUGUAAUAAAUGAGAUUGUCUCGAGGUUUUGAUUUAAAAAUUUAAAUAUAGAAAAAAAUUUGAUAAAAAAUAUUUUUUCUCGAAUGAGUAUGCCUAUACAAUACGAACUUAAAAUCAAUCGAACUUUAAUAUAGAUACUGAAUCGUGAAUGAAAAAACAAAAACUAAAGUGUCAUAAAUGUUUAGUCCAAGGAAGACUUCAAAAGUCAAGAACCAUAAAAUGGGUUAUAAACGAAGUGAGAAUUUUCUAAAGGAUUUAGUCUACACGUUUGAAGUAUUUAUUUUUCUCUUGAGGAAAUUUUUAUAUAAGAUUAUUAUUGAUUUAAACAAAAAACACAUCAUAUAUUUCCCUCUCCUCCAUAGCUUUUUGAAACCAUGAAUUACAAAGCAUUCACUUUUGAUAUUGUUUGUAUUAAUUUUUUUGUCUAUCGUCAACAAUGGCCUCUCGAAGAAUAUUAUCAGGUUUUAUCUCUUUGCUAUAUUAAAUAUGAUAAUUAGAAAAAAAAUAUUUAUUGUUUAUAGAAUAAUAAUUCUUGUUUAUUGAUAAAAGCAUAAAGAUCAUUUCUAUUAUAAGGUGGAGAGUUUGAUUUUUCCAAUCAACCUAAUCGCAUAAAUAAAACUCUUUUAAAAAAGGGAAAAUUGUAUAUAAUAGCAAACUAUUAAUUCAAAUUAAAUGCUAUAAAUAUAGUUUGAUUUAAUUGUACCUCAUAGCAAACUAUUGUUAUUUCACCUCUCUCCUGGUGAAUCUCGCUCGCCACUCUCAUUCUCUCCCUCGCCUCUCUCGUUUUUUAUACAAACGCAAGUGUAUAAAGUGCAUUUGUGUUUGUAUAAAGCGAGAGAAAAUUGUAUAUACACAUGCAAAUACAUAUAUCUUCGUCCUAUACACUAAUAAUUAUACAAUACAAAUAUUCCCUUACCCAAUUCUCUUUUUCCUUUCUCUCUUUCUUGCUUUAUACAAACACAUAUUAUACAAUAUAAUGUAAAAUUUAUGUUUGUAUAAUGUAUAAUUUAUGUUUGUAUAAAGCGAAAUAAAAUUGUAUAUACACAUGCAAAUACAUAUAUNNNNNNNNNNNNNNNNNNNNNNNNNNNNNNNNNNNNAGAAAAUUGUAUAUAUACAUAUAUUUCGUUCCCCUCUCUCCCCUCUCCCAGAUCUCGCUCACUCACUCGCCUCUCUCACUUUAUACAAUUGAUCUUUUUGUAUAUGUAUACCAAAGCAAAUUAUACAACUGUUUUUUUUUUGUAUAUGUAUAGCGAAUUAUACAUAUAUAUGUUUGCUAUGGAGCGCAAUUAUGCAAACUUUGCUGUAGCAUACAAAUAUGAAUUUUGUGUUUGCUAUAUUUGAAAGUUGCUCUUUAAAAAAUUAUAUAUUUAUCCCUUCUCUUUAAUGUAUUUUAAUUUUUUUUUCCCCUAAAUUUUCAGUUGAAGGAAGUAAACAAAUUCAUUAGUUUAAGAUAUACCAUGUUGAGAAUUCUAAUUAGUACGAUGGCAUUUAAUUUGGACUAAUAAGUAGUUUUUGUUGUAAAACUAAAGCAAAAUAAGACAAAAAAUAUAGAAGAUGAAAGCAAUAAAAAUAUUGUUAUAUAAUAUUUUAUAACAAUUUUUUUGUCAAUUUCUUUUUUUGCUUUAUUCUUGUUUUCUUGUUCCGUUUAUUGUAAUGGGUUUUACUUUAAUUUGAGGUAUCACGCUUCAGUUUUCAAUAUAAAAAAAUGUCUUCAGAAAGCAUUUUUUUCAAUAAUUCAAGUUUUUCCAAAAACACUUUUGAAAUUAUAAUCAAGCAUAAACUAUUACCCUAGAUCAACAAGUCUUUUUAAAUUAAUUAGUCUAAUACAAAUUACUAUCAUAUAUAUGUAUAAAAAAAACUUUAACAAACACUUUCAACAAAAAUACUUUUUAAAAUAAAUAAUUUUUCAAACUUAAUCAAAUAGACUAUAAAUAAUUAGGCUAUUGAAAAUAAAGUAGAUACCAAAUUUGGACAUAUUAAAAAAUUAAUUUAACAAAAAAAAAAAAAAUUGUACCCAAAAGUGCUUGUUCUUUGUUUGAAUUGAAUUUAAAUUCUAUGUAUUUAUAGGAUCAAAUUAUUUAUAUUCGAGAUAAAUUGAUUAUUAUGAUAGCAUAAUAUAUAUAUAAACUCUAUUUUAAUAACAGGUCCGGGAAAUAGUAAAAUGCCAUCACUACCUCACCGACCUAAACCAGAUGGAUCAGCAACUACCCAACCACCGCCUGGUAAACUUUUGCUUGAACCUUUUUUCAAUUUACGUGUCACAAUUCAAAAUUUGAGAAUCAAAUAUUUUAAUUUUCAUUUUUAAAACUUCGCAUCCCCUAAUGUGAACUACUAUUAAUAUGCGCGGCAAAUUAGUUCAUGCAUAUGUAGUAGUCUGAGUCGAUUUUAAUUUUUUAUCAUUUUAAUAAGUUGAAUUUUAAUUUUUGCAUUUAUAACAUAAUAAAAGUUAUUUAAGAGCGCAAAACAUAACUUAUAAACUAUUACUAUGUAAAAAUAUAAAUUUAUAUCUUACGAUUUUUUUUUUACCUCGAGGGACAAUCGAUAAAGAUCGGCACAAAAUACAGGGACCCUUUUUAAUUUGCGUAAAGAUAUUGAUUAGACACAAUGUUUAAAGAACUUUUUUUUUGAUGAUUUCUAAUACUUUGUGGUCGUGAGUACGAAUUAUAUGAUGAGAUAUUUGUGAAUUAUGAUUAUAAAACUUGUUAUAAAAUGUCUAAUGAGAAACUUAUAAUUCAUUUUUAGAAUAGAAAAGUGUUAUUCUGUUUGAUUUCAAAAAAUAAUAAUCAAUGUUUUUUUUUUUUUAAUCAAAAUAGCAGCACCACAACAUUUAACCUAUCGUGCAAUACAAAAAACAGUGACUGUAUGCAACGAGAAGGUGUAUGGCAAUUGUAUAAGAGCUCCUCCAACAGUCACACGCUGCAAUUAUUAUGGAAGAUGUAAACGCACCGUAGUACCCUAACUUGAAGUUAUAACAGCAAAGCAAGUCGCAGUUAGAAUUUGAAAUUUAUGAAUUCUGAAUGUAUUACUGAAUUUUAUAACACAUUUAAUUAGUUACUGGAUUGACGGUUAAUUGUAAACAAUAAACUUCAUUUUUCAGUGAAAGUUCAUGUAAUAAUAUUGAAUGGUGUAUAUUUAUAUCAAAGCCAUUUAAAAUCUUCUUCUUCCAUCCCCUUUUUGCUAUCCCUUUUUUUUUUUCAGUACUUAAAGUUACCAAAUUAUGAGGAAUAAAGAAUGUAAAUUUCCUAAAUGGUUAAAUACAUGCAAUAAUUGUAUCUUAAAUUUGUUAGUAAAUUUUAUUUAGACGAUAUCCUAACUACGAUUUAUUCUGAUUGAGUCAAUAGAUUUUGAAGAGGCAAGAAAAUACUUUGAUAAAUAUCGUGCUCAAGGCAUGCACACAUGGCAUCGAACAUCUUUUUCUUUAUUUUUGUUGUAUCUAUUCGAACUUGUGAUGCUCCGUUAAUUAAGACUCGUAAGAUGAUCCAAAAGUUUCUUUUUUAAGGGAAUUUUACACAAAUCCCGUAGUGUUAACAACUAAUUAUAUCAUAUCUCUACUCUUUUCCAAAUUACAAAAAUCCCUUAAAUUUGCUGGAAUUCGAAUACAUUCCAAAAUGUCCCGAUACAUCACGUCCCAAUUUUGGAUACCUCGCUCAACCUCCCGAUAUAUCACGUCUCAGUUUCGUGUACAUCAUUCAACAACCCAAUACAUCGCGUAAAGUGAUGUAUCCAAAAAUAGGAGAGAAUAGGAAUUUUUGUGAUUUUUUAAAUGGUAGGAAAUUUUAAAGAAUAUGGUAAAAUAAGUUGUGUAUUGAGGUAAUUUGUACUUUCUUGUAUACGAAUUAUGUAGAGGUUAAAAUUUAAAUAAUGACACCAAAAUAGUCUAUUUGUGCAAACUCCCAUCCACACAAGUUUGAAUUGGCUGGUCUGUCUAAAAAAGCCCAAGAGCUUCUUACUAUUGGGCCUACUUUACUAGUAGCGGGACCCAAUUACAAAAUUUUCAAAUAUAACUCCACACGCAAUCUCCGCCUUCCCGUUGAAUUUAUUCCGGUGCCGGAGAAAUGGAAAACGGCGCUCAGCAAACACCGUCCACCACUAUGCCACCAUCACCUCCGAUGCCAAAAGUCGGCGUAGCGGUGUUUCUUUUAAAAGGAAGUAAAGUUCUGUUGGGGAAACGCCUCUCCGCCGUCGGCCAUAGCACCUUUGCACUUCCCGGCGGCCACCUGGAGUUCGGUGAGUACCUUAAAAUAUAUUCCCGUUGUUUAUCGAAG
rnacentral:lncRNA from 1 species